rnacentral:lncRNA from 1 species
UUUUGAAUGGCCAGUUCUGGGUUCUUUUUACCUUGUUACUAACAAUUGAUUAAAGAACUAACUAGCUGAAUAAAAGGAGACCUCGCAAAGACCAAUAUGAAAGUUUGCAUGAACCCAAGAUUAUAAUUCCUCUAAUUCCCUGUGCUACAAGCCACAUUGCUCCCCUUUUCUGCCUAAUUCCCUGUGCCAGAAGCCGCAUCGCUCCCCUUUUCUGCCAGAGUAAUUGCAGUCAUCAUUGUCUUUCUUCCAAGGGUGACUAGAAUGUGUGGGAGGGUGGUGGGGGUUGGAGAGGAAAGCUUUGAAUACAGCCUGUUUGAAGUUCUGGUUAGUUGGGUUGCAGACUUGGACUCCCUGUGUUCAUGAGCACGUCCUGUCCACGUCCUACUUUGCUUUAACCCACUUUGCCUAUUCCUGCCUGAAUUCUGGAACUCAGAACCACAGCUUGGUAGCAGAUGCUGUAUUAGACAUAGAAGGUUAGAGAGAUUAAGCCACUUGCUCAAGGCUAAACAGCUUGUUGAUUUUCCUGAACUGCCUUGAUGAGAAGUACCAUUCAUUCAUUCAUCCAUUCAAAUAAUUAAUUAACAUUUAUUGAGCACAUAUUAUGUGUCACACAUUGUGCUUCACACUGGGAAUACAAAGGUAAACCACCAAGAUAUGAUCCCAUCUUUGCAGUGUGUCCAGAGCAGUGGGGAGACAGACAUAUAUGAACUGUCAUAUCAACACAUAAUUACAAAGCAGAACCAGUAGUUUUCAAGCAAAGUACAGGAUCUGUGAGAGCAAUGAAGCCUUUUUUGUCCAAGGAGACCUGGUGGCUUCUCUGAGGGUGUAACCACCAUACUGAAACCUGAAGGAUUUGCAGGAGUUAACUAGAGAAGACUGGGGGGAAUGUAAGAGUGUCUCAGAUUGGGUGAUUCAAGUACAGAGGUCUUUGGCUGUAGCACAAAGUGCUGGUGUGGGGAUGGGAGGUAGUGGAAGGAGAUGAGAGGAAGGCAGGGGCUGAUUCUUCAGAAACUUGACAUAUUUGGUCUCUAACAUGAGAACAAUAGCUUUUGGAAUUAUCUUCACAAAAGGUCACCAUGUCCUGCUAGUUACCUAAUAUUAUAACCUUUCU